AGAGUUUGAUCAUGGCUCAGGACGAACGCUGGCGGCGUGCUUAACACAUGCAAGUCGAACGAGGAUUGAUUUGUUGAGAGCUUCGGCAGGAUACGGAUCGAUUCGAGUGGCGGACGGGUGAGUAACGCGUGAGCAAUCUGUCCCAGACAGGGGAAUAACACUUGGAAACAGGUGCUAAUACCGCAUAAGACCACAGUAUCGCAUGGUACAGGGGUAAAAGGAGCAAUCCGGUUUGGGGUGAGUUCGCGUCCGAUUAGAUAGUUGGCGAGGUAACGGCCCACCAAGUCGACGAUCGGUAGCCGACCUGAGAGGGUGAUCGGCCACAUUGGAACUGAGAGACGGUCCAAACUCCUACGGGAGGCAGCAGUGGGGAAUAUUGGGCAAUGGGCGAAAGCCUGACCCAGCAACGCCGCGUGAGUGAAGAAGGCUUUCGGGUUGUAAAGCUCUGUUAUAGAGGACGAAGGAAGUGACGGUACUCUAUAAGGAAGCCCCGGCUAACUACGUGCCAGCAGCCGCGGUAAUACGUAGGGGGCGAGCGUUGUCCGAAAUGACUGGGCGUAAAGGGCGUGUAGGCGGCCGUUUAAGUAUGGAGUGAAAGUCCACUUUUCAAGGGUGGAAUUGCUUUGUAGACUGGAUGGCUUGAGUGCGGAAGAGGUAAGUGGAAUUCCCAGUGUAGCGGUGAAAUGCGUAGAUAUUGGGAAGAACACCGGUGGCGAAGGCGGCUUACUGGACAGUAACUGACGUUCAUGCUCGAAGGCGUGGGGAGCAAACAGGAUUAGAUACCCUGGUAGUCCACGCGGUAAACGAUGAAUACUAKGUGUUGGCAUCCAAAGGAUGUCGGUGCCGUCGCAAACGCAUUAAGUAUUCCACCUGGGGAGUACGUUCGCAAGAAUGAAACUCAAAGGAAUUGACGGGGACCCGCACAAGCAGUGGAGCAUGUGGUUUAAUUCGAAGCAACGCGAAGAACCUUACCAAGUCUUGACAUCCCCCUGACCGGCGAGUAACGUCACCUUUCCUUCGGGACAGGGGAGACAGGUGGUGCAUGGUUGUCGUCAGCUCGUGUCGUGAGAUGUUGGGUUAAGUCCCGCAACGAGCGCAACCCUUAUGGCCAGUAGCCAGCAUGUUAUGAUGGGCACUCUGGCAAGACUGCCCGGGAUAACCGGGAGGAAGGUGGGGAUGACGUCAAAUCAUCAUGCCCCUUAUGAUUUGGGCAACACACGUGCUACAAUGGCGUAACAGAGAGAAGCGAUCCCGCGAGGGGGAGCAAAUCUUCAAAUAACGUCUCAGUUCGGACUGCAGUCUGCAACUCGACUGCACGAAGCUGGAAUUGCUAGUAAUCGCGAAUCAGCAUGUCGCGGUGAAUACGUUCCCGGGUCUUGUACACACCGCCCGUCACACCAUGGGAGUCAGCAACGCCCGAAGUCAGUGACCCAACCUUUCAGGAGGGAGCUGCCGAAGGCGGGGCGGAUAACUGGGGUGAAGUCGUAACAAGGUAGCCGUA
rnacentral:rRNA from 1 species